GGACACAAAAAUAUACAGAUUGUGAGACUAAAGAUGACAGAUUGUCACAUUACAUCAAAGUACACAAGAAGAAUUUGCGGUGUUGGAGCUUUUGCAAGUGGCAGAAGAAUAAGAUCCAGCCAGAGACUUGUCUGGAGGAGGAAGUCACAGAUUACCGAGAUAGCCCAUUGUUGUCCAAAACUCAGGCGAAGAAGAAGGAGGAGGACAACAAGGGUUCAGCUCAAGAUCAGGUCCAGCUGUCCAGACAAAAAGGCCCUCUUUGCUGAAGAGAAUCCGCCUGUUCUACCGUCGCCUGAGCUGCUGGUCCCAUGAAUGAGUGACGCCCUUUGAACCCACUUAACUAACCACAAACUCUAUUCCCUCUCUCUACUAUCUUACCUUCCCUCUACUCCCCAUUUCCUCCCCUUCUGCUCAACUUCACCCACCCAACCCCACUCUAACCUUCUCUCCCCCUCCCUUUACUCUCUCAACCCCUCACCUUCCCUUUACUUCCCCUCAUCCCCUUACCUUCUCUCUUCUACCCCAUCAUUCCAACCCCUGACUCCCCUCUUUUUACCUCCCACCUUGCUCUACUUCACCCACCCAACUGCACUCUAUCCCCACUCUAUCUCUACUCUCACAAGCAGCAUAAUGAUUUGGUGACAGGUUAGCAUUGUUGUCUCAAACCCCACCAUAUUCCUAAUAAAUUGACUGCAAAUUA